rnacentral:ncRNA from 4 species
UUAAAUGCUAAGAAAAGAAAUAGUAAAAGUAGUUAAUCUUAAACAGAGAGUUUCCGAUUGGUGAGAGGAGCAAUAGAUUUUACUUUGAACACAUCUUUGAGCAGGACUCUGAAAGAGUAGAAAUACUUUAUUAGGAGCUUUCCGGAAUCCUUGCACCCGUUAUAGUGCUAGAGUAUAAUGAUUUGUUUUAUUGUACUUAAAGAGGUUAGUGUCGUGAGGCAUUAAUGAACAGAGGUGGAACCACGAGAGUUAACUCCCGUCCUCUAG